rnacentral:RNase_P_RNA from 1 species
GGUCGCGAGCGGGUGCUUCGGUGCGCCGUUCGAGGAAAGUCCGGGCUCCAUCAGGGCACGGUGCCGGGUAACCCCCGGGCGCUGAAAGGCGAUGGAAAGUGCCACAGAGAGUAGACCGCCGAUGGCGGCUUCGGUCGCACAGGCAAGGGUGAAAGGGUGGGGUAAGAGCCCACCGCGUCUUAGGGUAACCGAGACGGCAUGGUAAACCCCGCCGGGAGCAAGGCCAAAUAGGAGCGAUGUGGUGGCCCGCCGCAGUGAGCUCCGGGUAGGCUGCAUGAGACCGCGGGAGACCGACGGUCCUAGAUAGAUGACCUCACUGGCGAGUUAGUUCGUCGGGACAGAACCCGGCUUAUCUCCCUCC